CACUACCCAGUGGAAGUGCAGAAGCGUCCUAAAUCAGGACAUCGACAUGAAAGUGACUUUGUUGUUCACGAACCUUCACCAAUUGCCACCAGUCCUACACACCUCAGUGACAUCUAUAACAGCGACUACCUUAGAAGAAGUGCUGCCAAUAGAAACGUCCUGCCAUUUACACAAACAUAUGCCCAAAACAGCCAUCACGAGUUUUCAGACGCUGCGUCAAGUGACCGGUCGCUUUUCACAAGCUCAGAUGAGGCUUCUUUCACAACUGAGAGUACCAGGGACUCCUUCAGUACUGUUGACUAUGGUGAUUCUUGCAAUAUGGACACAAUUUCAUCUAUCUUCAAUUAUUCCAGACAAAAAUCCUACAACAAAUUUUCACUUAGUAGGCCACUUACCAGGUUCUUCCCUCAAAAGGGUCAUAUUGAAAGAGUACAAAGAAUUGAUCAAGAGUCUAAAAAAGCCACUCAUUCUUCACUUUAACAUCCAUCAAAUGGUAAUGGUGGCAUUUAUGUACAUUAUGGAAGCAACCCUCUCAGUGGUAUUACCUCAAUGUGAACUAUAUAGUUAUACAUUUUGGAAUCCUAACUGGUUAAACUGAUGAUUUAGGAUGGAUUAGGUGCCUCAAAGUUUUCAAUAUUUAGUUGAUUGAGGCAUAUAGUUCUGUUAAGCAAAAAUGUAUUUUUACUUUUGUUUAUCUAUAAUUGUAAAGAUGACUGCAAUGUUCCUUUGGUAUUAUCUAUUAAUUUAAUCCAUGAAAGCCCUUUCCUUAUACAAGUACUAUUGUACUUUUCCUUCUGAUUUACAUUUUGAAUGCUUUAUUAUCAUAAAGAAUAUAUUGUUUUAAUGAGAUACCUUGAUUUUUAUCUAUAGGUAGUAGUUUAUGACACUGAAUUUAUUGGAUUCCACCAUUCAAAACAUUAUUUUUCAAACUCCAAAAUAAAGGUGGAAAUUAGUAGAGUUGAAUUUGUUCAAGUGAACUAAUUAAGGAUUGGCUCAAAUGGAGUUCAAUCAAUUAUGAACUAUGUUUUCAACUCAAGUUUGACUCAAUUAAAGUUUAUGAACUUUUGAACAAAUUAACAAACUCGAAUUUAUGUCACUCUUCAACAUAAAUUUAAAGACUUACAAAAAGUCUUGAUGGGUUAUACAUAUACAAAUAGAAAAAAUUUGUAAAUUUUAAUAAUAAAGAAUUGAAAACAAUAUAAUUGAAAUUUAUUUGAAUUGUUAAAAUUAAAAGAUGAAUACAUAUGACUUUAAGUAUAUGACUUUAAGUAUUUAUGUAACUGUUAAGUAACUUUUACUGUUAAUUUUCAAUAAAUUUUUUCAACCAAUGACAGGUUAGUGGUAUAUGCAGUGGCACAACUUGUGGGACAACAGAUGUGCUCCUGUCAUGCCCUAUACUUUUAAAAACUAGGAGGAGAAAACACUACAAACGAUAUGUAUUGGUCUUUUAAAGGCAAAACUGUUCUUUAAAACAGAAACCAAACAUGCUGCAAAUUUUAGAGAUACCCGGUUUUCCUUCUGAACAUCUCUCUCUCAUAUUAGUUUCCUUUAUAAUCUUUUCUAAUUCUAUACUGAAAGUCCGAAAUAUUGUUGAGAACUUGAGAUUGUAUAAAACUUAUGCUUUGUCAUUAUUAAAUUAAACUUGUUUAUGUAGGCUUCUAAUUACAUCAAUGCAAUCUAUAUGCUUGGAGGGACUUGGUGGUGAGAAAAAGGUUGAUCCUAGACUACAGGAGACAACUUUCAUACAACAUACUUUUGGUGGUCGACUUCAAUCCAAGGUAUGUAUCACGUGUUUCCUUUUCUUCUCUUAUAUUUCCCUUUUCUCCUUUGGGCUUUAAAGUCUUUGAUAUUAGUGCUACUAUUCUUUUAUUUUUAUAGUUAAUUUUGCAUUUAGAGGGUGAGGCUUGGCGCUACGGUAAGGUUGUUUGUCUUGUGACUUGGAAGUCAUGAGUUCAAAUCCUGGAAACAGUUUGUUCGCUCGUGAUGGUAAGGCUGCAUACGUCUACCCUCCCCAGACUCCACUAGGUGGGAUCCUCGUGUACUGGCCGCCUUGAUAGUUAAUUUUGCAUUUGUUUGACGGCAUAGUGAAAUUUAAUAUCACAGGUUAAGUGUUUAAAUUGCAAUCACGAGUCUGAAAGGUAUGAGAACAUUAUGGACCUUACAUUGGAGAUAUUGGGUUGGGUUGAGUCGCUGGAAGAUGCACUAGCUCAGUUUACUUCCCCUGAAGACUUGGAUGGUGAAAAUAUGUAUAGAUGUGGAAGGUUUGAUGAUCUUUUCCUGUAUUUAUCUUUCACAAUUAUAUGUGGUUUAGUUAUAAUAAAAAGAUAUGUGAAAAAGAGAAAAACAAAGGAAGAUUUUAAGGUUUUCACUUCUAAUUGAGAAAUUAUCUCUAUACGUUUUGAACUAGGUGCACUUCAUAUGUUCGAGCAAGAAAGCAAUUGAGCAUACACGAGGCCCCUAACAUCCUCACUGUUGUUUUGAAGAGAUUUCAGGUAUCUUGUUUUUUUGUUCUCUAUUCUGCUUUGCGGUUCUUCUGUUGCUAAGCUUGAUUUUGUUACUUGUCUUGCUAGUUGUUCUUAUUGGUAUUUAUGACUGGGUGUUAACUAUUGGCAGAGGACAUGAAUUGAGUUUUAAAUAUUUAGCUAGAUGUUGAUGUUGUCGAGUGCUUCGUCAUUCAAUAAUGCUCUGAUCGGAUAUUCCAAUAUGCUAUGGUGAAUGAUAAAGCAAAGUUUUAUAGCUUGAUUUUGCCCUUGACUCGUUCUUUUGCUUCUGACAUAAUUACUUGAAAUGUGUUAUGGGUUGGUACCUGAUUUGCCACUAAUGAUUAUGUUACAAGACUUUCCAUAUGAUGAACUUGGCAUGCACUACUGCGAAUCUGUGAUUCACAUAUCACAUGGUUGUUAGUGAAUUGGGUAACUAGACUUCUGAGUUGGGUGCUUUUUAGGCACACUCCUAACAGAUUUGUGGGAUGAGGUAUCUUCAAUUAAAUGUUACUAUUAAAUAACAAAUAAUUCUUGUCACGAGGAACUUCACACUUAAUUUGGUCAUCGGCAACAAAUUGUGAGCUUAUUUGCCUUCAGAAAUUCAGUCUUUAAUUAUGCAAUGUCAGUGUAAAGAUUGAAUCUAGCAAGUCUUUAAUUAUCUAAUGUUUUUAGUUAUGCGGUUUUGAAGUUGUUUUAUGUUUGGAUUCUAUCCUUUUAUAUGCUUGACAAUGUUUCGAAUUUCUCCAUUUCCAUAUAUUGACCCAUUGGAAUAUCUUGUUUCUGGUUGUGCAUCAUCAGGAAGGAAGAUAUGGAAAAAUUAACAAGUGCAUAACUUUUCCUGAGAUGUUGGAUAUGAUCCCAUUUAUGACUGGGACGGGUGAUAUUCCUCCACUUUACAUGCUUUAUGCUGUCGUUGUGCACCUCGACACGCAAAAUGCAUCUUUCUCUGGACAUUAUAUUUCGUAUGUGAAAGAUCUGCAAGGCAAUUGGUACAGGGUAGAUGAUACUGAGGUAAUUUGUUACCUUGUUUGCAUUCUUUGUAUGUAAUUUCCUAAGUGGUAAUCUACUUUUUAUGUAACCGUUUUUGUUGCUUAGUAUUUUGUAUUCACAUCAUAUAUAUUUUGUGGAGAUUAAAAUUUAGGAGAGGAACCCUCACGAAUAAGUUGAAUUAUUGCUUAGUAUUUUGUAUUCACAUCAUAUAUAUUUUGUGGAGAUUAAAAUUUAGGAGAGGAACCCUCACGAAUAAGUUGAAUUAAGACGUAAUCAAAGCAAUCAGACGAACUUGUGACUAUUAAUACUUUGCUACAAGUUUGUGUCUACUAGGUACCAAAGCUUCAUAACUUCUCAAUUUGGAAUUACAAAUUAUGUCAUUUGGCGGCCGCAGGGUUAGAUUCUGUGGCAUAGCACAUUUUCUAGCUGCUUAAUUUCUCUUUUAUAAUAAGCACACUAGACUGGAUAAGAUUAGGAACAAAUACAUUAGACUAUUAGAAAGAAAGUUGAGGUAACAUCUACUAUAAAAAAGAUGGUAACCUUGCCUUAGGUGGCUCGGUUAUGUGUGGAAUGUGGAGAAGAUCUGUAGACCUGAUAAUUUUCCGAGAGUAAAUCAGAUGGAGUGUAGCCCAAUCAUAGAUGUUGGGGGAGACCAAGUAUAACUGUAGUCAGAAGUCAGAAUCAUUACGAUGGAUUUAGAUGUCAAUGGUUUGUCACAUAAUUUAUGAUAAAACAUUAUGGUAUCGUUUGAUACAAAUAGUUAACCUCACCUAGCUGGAAAAAUCUUGGUUGUUGUUAAUAAUAAGCCAAAUAGUGACUUUUUUAUGUAUCUACUUUAUGAGAUGAUUGGUUUAAAUGGGCAUGGGCUUUGUGAACCAAAAUAUGAGAUGUUUGACUGUGUUUCCAUUGGAAAAUCAGUUUUAAGUAAUGCAUCAUAAAUCACCUGUAGAGGAAACAUUUCUCAGAAUAUUAGAGGUCACAUUAUCUUAUAUUGACUUGGUAGAAUUUCAUCCCUAGAUAUUCAGUUAGCAGAAUUUCAUUUGUUGAGUAUUGGUAACUGUAGAGGAAGUCUUCAAUGCCCCAAACUCCUUCUAAGUUAUGUGUGCAUUGUUGACCAUUAACAUGUACCACACCUUGACCUGUUUAGUCGCAUUUUGACUUUUAACCUUGUAUUAGUUCUUUCUUCACUUUCGCCCAAAUAGUUGAAAGGACAAUUUUGUCCCUGCAUAUUAGAUGAAUCUGUUAUUCUUUUUCACUUUUGACCCAAAAAUGAUCUACAACAGCCUGAUUUUGCGGGGGCGAUUUCCACCAUCGAUUCCAGUCCUCAUUCUUCAUUAUUACCACAUCCAUGCCAGCUGCUUCAUGGCAUCAUGCUUCACCAUUGCCAUCUACAACUUUAUUUUGCUUCCACCUAAAACCAUAAAUAGCCUUACACAUAGUAAUUACACAGAAACAAAAUGAAUUACUUCAAUAAUCAUUGCCAACACACAAAUAUACUUCACAACCACAAGGGGGAAGUUCAAAUGCUCACUGCAACUUCCUUUCAAAUUUCCAAAAUAUUAUUCAUCAAUGAUUGAACCAUUUCAUGGUUUUUUUAUCAGCACCAUUUCAUGGUUAAUUUCAUGCUUAUUUUAACUUUCUUUUUUAAACAUUAAUAUUAAUUAUCAUAAACGUCAAAUUAACCAUGAAUGCCUAAAGGGUGCUGUUUCUAUUUUAUAAGCAAAUGACUUUGUUUACUAGAUGGCCCAAUUGAUAAAUGUUCUUUGCUGGGGCACUGAAGAGAAAGGCUGUCUCGGUUGCCUAAACAAGUUCUAGCGGUCGGGAUGGAAUAAAACGGAAUACACGGCUAACGUGCCACAGUGCAUGCCUUACAAGGAGUUUGAGGCAUUGAAGAACGAGUCGUAACUCUUCCUUGUUAAGUUACAAAUUGGAAUGCAAGGCUUGCACUUGCACUAGCAUUUCAAGAUUGGUACAUUAAGAGAAUAGUCGUUCUUUCCUUCUCAUAUCUGCAUUAGAUUGGUUUUCACAAAUUUAAGGCAUGUCUGCACAGAAUACCCUCCUCAAACCCACUAUGUGGGAGCCUUGUACACUGGGUCAACCUUUUAUGUUAUGCAUGUGGGAACUUUUGACAAAUUCCUUCAGCUUGACGAGGAAGUGUUUCAGUUUUGGCAUGACUAUGUUAAGUGAUUAGACGAACUGUCGAACUCUCAAGAGUGAAACUAUAAAUGAUUUAUUUUAGCUUUAAUGGGAUUGAAAUUGUUAAUUAUGAUCACAUUUUCCAUAAUUGAUGUGACUCUGACCUUUGGGUUUGUUUGGUAUUUUAUCACUCUUUUUGCAUUCAAUUUCUUGUUAUUUUCCCCCAAUGGUUAUGUCUUGUUAACAUGACUUCCAAGUUCCAGGCUAUAGGUAAAUGAACACAUGACUCAAACAUUUUUUUAGUCAUAUUAUUCACAUCUCUUAAACUUGGAUAGACAGCUAUUUACAGCAGGUGCAUACUCUAAUUUUUAUUCUAAUUACUGAAGAUAUCAACUACUAUCAACAACUAAGCAAGGAAUAUCUAAGUAUCAAUACAUACUAAUAAUCUGCUUGAAUUUUUCUAGUUUCAUUGGGUUUUAAUUCCUCAGAUUUUGCUUUAUCAACAGGUUCAACCAGUGCUAAUUGAUCAGGUGAUGUCAGAAGGAGCCUAUAUCUUAUUCUACUUGAGGUAAAGAUUUAAUUGCUUUUACAGUUGUUUGUCUUCAAACAUCUUCGAUUAAAACAGCUUUUGCUUACUUAUCGUUCUACGAUGAUCCACAUUUUCACUUAUUCUUCAUGAAUACCAUAUCCGAUCCAUUUUUGCGGUUAGCAUCUAGGAAACCGUAAUCUUCAUCCCUUCUUUAUAGAUGGCAGUGUAUAUUUAUAUUUUGCAUGCUGUAUAUAUGCUUUCCUUAGGUCUUGCCCCCGUCCUCCGGUAGAACUUACCAGGAAAGCCAUGAAUCAAUCAGUUCCCGGAUCUUCAAAACACUACCCAGUGGAAGUGCAGAAGCGUCCUAAAUCAGGACAUCGACAUGAAAGUGACUUUGUUGUUCACGAACCUUCACCAAUUGCCACCAGUCCUACACACCUCAGUGACAUCUAUAACAGCGACUACCUUAGAAGAAGUGCUGCCAAUAGAAACGUCCUGCCAUUUACACAAACAUAUGCCCAAAACAGCCAUCACGAGUUU
rnacentral:lncRNA from 1 species